AGAGCGAGAGCGAGAAUUUCAGCAAGAGAGGAGAGCGAGAUCGAGAAUUUCAGCGAGAGAGGGAGAGCGAGAUCGAGAAUUUCCAAGAAGAAGGGGAUUCCGACUAUGGAAAUCGGUGAUAAAAGACGAUCAAAUCUCUCCCGCCGAAAAGAAAGGUUUUUUUUAUAGGUGCCACUGCAAUCUCACGUCCAUCAGAUUGGUCGUUGGCCCGCCUGCGUCCGCUGCUGCACCGAUUUGCGCCGCUCGAUUGAUCGCCGCUCGCCGAUUACUCUUGGUCUCAAUCGUACGAAGAUUGAAGAUUAAGUUAGCAGUUUUUUUUCUUGUCGUCGUUUGACGUGUGUUCGUGGUGACCGUUGUCUGUUCGUGGUUGAACAUGAAAUAUUGAAAUAGAAUCAAUAUUUGUUACAUAUUGAAACAGAAUCAAUAUUUGUUAUACAUUGAAACAGAAUCUUUGACUCCGGUUGUUGAACGUUUCGGAUGGUUUCAUUGCUGUGCAGAUUUCACGAAUUUUGGGCACUGCUGCAGAUUUGGUUUUAGUGCGGUUCAAGCUUCUGGUUCGGCCUGGUUCAUUUUUACGGUUCGGUUCAAUACAGUGGUUCGGUCUGGUUCACCUCACUGGUUCGAUUCGGUUCAGUACAAAAGCAGUGUUUUUCGUUGUAUUUGUUUUUUUCAUGGACUUUUUUUUUAUCGGGCUCUGACAGAGGAAGAAAAAACUCCAUUAGCAAAAACUAUGAGUUGCCACAAAAAUUGAUACAAAUUCACCGUUUUACCUAGGACCACAAGAUCGUCCCGGUGAUUUCAUAACUCCAAUUCGUCUAAAGCUUGAUAAUUUUGACGAAUGGUCUCAUGCAAUCCGAGUUGCUCUUUCAUCUCGACGAAAAUUUGGUUUUCUUAACGAACCAUCACUAGGGUUGUUCCGCCCUGGACAAAUGAUAAUUGGGUCACAAUUCAUUGUAUGCUAGUUUCAUGGCUCAUCAAUACAAUCGAUCCUGAGGUACGUUCUAUGCUAUCUAAUUAUAAUAAUGCCAAGUUGUUAUGGGAUGAUUUGAACGAACGAUUCUCUGUUGUCAAUGGUCCUCAUAUUUACCAACUUAAGGGAAAUAUUAGCCGUUGUGAACAGAGCAAAAAUAUGUAUGUUGUUGUCUACUUUAGUAAAUUGAAUGUCUUGUGGGAUGAGUUAGAUAAACAUGAGCCCCUGAUUUCUUGCGAGUGUGGAAAUUGUACUUGUCAGGUUGGAAAACUACAUGAGAAACGACGCUCUGAUGAUAGACUUCAUCAAUUUUUACUUGGUUUGUGUUUUGAUUAUUAUGGUCAAUUGAGGACUACUCUUCUGUCAUGAGAUCCUCUUCCAUCAUUAAAUCGGGCAUUUCAGCAAGUGGCUCAAAAUGAACGGGUUAGAGGAAUUACUCAACUCGGAUCAAACAACGAUGAGAAACCUGAGGUGGUUGGUUUUGCUGUGCUUACGGAUAAUAGGCAAAAGACACGAUUGGAUCGAGCAGAAAACGCGGUCUUGACUUGUACUUACAGUCACAAAUCAGGACAUUCCUGUAGUACAUGUUUUGUUUUACAUGGCACUCCAGAUUGGUACUUGGAGAGGUAUGGGUCUUCAUCCGAUAGCAAAGGACAUUUGAAAGGUAAAGCAACAUUCCACAAAGCUUCGAACAACCGUGGACGCUCCACAGCGCGCGCAAAUGCUAUUGCCACUGACGACCCUCAACAGUACAUCACCUGUUAUGUCAACCCCUCUAGAAUUUACGGCUGAACAGUGAGCAGCCGUAACAGUUGCGUUUGGUACUCCUUCUUCCAACCGGUUGCACGAUAAGUAUAACAUUGCUUAUUGGAUUAUUGAUACCUCUCAUCAUGUUACCGGUAAUGAUUCUUGUCUAUUGGAUGUUCACGUGGUUUCUUCUUGCCCUGUGGGUCUCCCAAAUGGACAAACUGUAGUUGCUACUAAAACAGGCAUUGUGAAACUGACCGACUCUAUCAUACUUGAUAAUGUUCUCUUUGUUCCUCAAUUAUAGUGCAAUUUAAUAUCGGUUUCACAAUUGAGUGAUGAGCUUCAUUAUUUAGUUCAAUUUGAUUCUAACUCAUGUGCUAUACAGGACCAACGUUAGAGGAAGGUGAUUAGCACGGGUGAGCGAAGAGAUGGACUUUAUUAUCUGCGACGAAGUUUAACAGUGCAAGCCGUUUCAGUUUCUAGUUUAAAGUCUUUGGAGUUGUGGCAUCAUCGGUUGGGUCAUCCUUCCGUAGUGAAGUUGCUUCCUUUUCUUUCAGUUGGAUAAAGGGUGUGAAGUCUGUCAUCGGGCUAAAUAUUCUCGUAGUAUUUUUUCUUCCAGUAAAAAUAAAUCCACUCAGAUAUUUGAGUUA